rnacentral:rRNA from 1 species
GUGGGGAAUAUUGGGCAAUGGGCGAAAGCCUGACCCAGCAACGCCGCGUGAAGGAAGAAGGUCUUCGGAUUGUAAACUUCUGUCAUUGGGGACGAAGGAAGUGACGGUACCCGAUGAGGAAGCCCCGGCUAACUACGUGCCAGCAGCCGCGGUAAUACGUAGGGGGCGAGCGUUGUCCGGAAUUACUGGGCGUAAAGGGUGCGUAGGCGGCGAUGCAAGUCCAUUGUGAAAAGCCCGGGCUUAACCUGGGAGGUGCAGUGGAAACUGUAUGGCUUGAGUGCAGGAGAGGAAAGUGGAAUUCCUAGUGUAGCGGUGAAAUGCGUAGAUAUUAGGAGGAACACCAGUGGCGAAGGCGGCUUUCUGGACUGUAACUGACGCUGAGGCACGAAAGCGUGGGGAGCAAACAGGAUUAGAUACCCGAGUAGUCC